rnacentral:rRNA from 1 species
GGGGAAUAUUGCACAAUGGAGGAAACUCUGAUGCAGCGACGCCGCGUGAACGAUGAAGGCCUUCGGGUCGUAAAGUUCUGUCCUAGGGGACGAUAAUGACGGUACCCUAGGAGGAAGCCCCGGCUAACUACGUGCCAGCAGCCGCGGUAAUACGUAGGGGGCAAGCGUUGUCCGGAUUUAUUGGGCGUAAAGGGUUCGCAGGCGGCCUUUUAAGUCAGAUGUGAAAUCCUAUGGCUUAACCAUAGUAAGCAUUUGAAACUGGAAGGCUUGAGUUAAGGAGAGGAAAGUGGAAUUCCUAGUGUAGCGGUGAAAUGCGUAGAUAUUAGGAGGAAUACCAGUGGCGAAGGCGACUUUCUGGACUUAUACUGACGCUGAGGAACGAAAGCGUGGGGAGCAAAC